rnacentral:rRNA from 1 species
GACGAACGCUGGCGGCGUGCUUAACACAUGCAAGUCGAACGGUGAAGCUCCAGCUUGCUGGAGUGGAUCAGUGGCGAACGGGUGAGUAACACGUGAGCAACCUGCCCCUGACUCUGGCAUAAGCGCUGGAAACGGCGUCUAAUACUGGAUACGAGAAGGGUCCGCAUGGGCACUUUCUGGAAAGUUUUUCGGUUGGGGAUGGGCUCGCGGCCUAUCAGCUUGUUGGUGAGGUAAUGGCUCACCAAGGCGACGACGGGUAGCCGGCCUGAGAGGGCGACCGGCCACACUGGGACUGAGACACGGCCCAGACUCCUACGGGAGGCAGCAGUGGGGAAUAUUGCACAAUGGGCGAAAGCCUGAUGCAGCGACGCCGCGUGAGGGAUGACGGCCUUCGGGUUGUAAACCUCUUUCAGCAGGGAAGAAGCGAAAGUGACGGUACCUGCAGAAGAAGCACCGGCUAACUACGUG